rnacentral:rRNA from 1 species
AGACGAACCGUCCAAACGUUAUUCGGAAUCACUGGGCUUAAAGGGUGCGUAGGCGGUCCGGGAAGUUGGGUGUGAAAGCCCUCGGCUCAACCGAGGAAUUGCGUCCAAAACUGCCGGACUUGAGGGAGACAUAGGUGAGCGGAACCUAGGGUGGAGCGGUGAAAUGCGUUGAGAUCCUAGGGAACACCAGUAGCGAAAGCGGCUCACUGGGUCUCUUCUGACGCUGAUGCACGAAAGCUAGGGGAGCGAAGAGGAUUAGAUACCCUCGUAGUCCUAGCCGUAAACGAUGAGCACUGGUUUGGAGGGUCCUCCAUAGCCUUCCAGACGUAGCGAAAGUGUUAAGUGCUCCGCCUGGGGAGUAUGGUCGCAAGGCUGAA